CGGGUGAGUAACGCGUAUGCAAUCUACCUAUAACUGAGGAAUAGCCCAGAGAAAUUUGGAUUAAUACCUCAUAAUAUUAUUAUUUGGCAUCAUUUAAUAAUUAAAACUCCGGUGGUUAUAGAUGAGCAUGCGUUCUAUUAGCUAGUUGGUGAGGUAAGAGCUCACCAAGGCUACGAUAGAUAGGGGGCCUGAAAGGGUGAUCCCCCACACUGGUACUGAGACACGGACCAGACUCCUACGGGAGGCAGCAGUGAGGAAUAUUGCACAAUGGAGGAAACUCUGAUGCAGCCAUGCCGCGUGCAGGAUGAAGGCCCUAUGGGUUGUAAACUGCUUUUUUACAAGAAGAAACCUUGGUACGUGUACCAACUUGACGGUAUUGUAAGAAUA
rnacentral:rRNA from 1 species